rnacentral:rRNA from 1 species
UGUGAUGUCGUAAGGGAAAAUAAUGAUACUACCUUACUAUUAGUGUCGUCCAAAGCUGGUGCCAGAAGACUCGGUAAGGCCAGAGACGCAAACGUUAAUCAUCUUAAUCAGGCGUAAAGGGUAAGUAGGCAGCUUUAUAAAUAAAGCUAGAAUCAAGAAGGGGUUGAACCAAAUAAUACCUAGAGGAGGGUUAAAAUCUGUAGAUCCUAGGUGGAAUACUAACGGCGAAAGCUUUUCAUCCAAGUAAUGAUUGACGCUGAGGAACGAAGGGGAGGGCAGGAAACAGGAUUAGAUACCCCAGUACUCCUCUCAGUCAACAAUGAAUGGUAGUCAUUAGUUUAAAACUAUAUGAUCAAUGCUAACGCGAGUAACCAUUCCGCCUUGUAACUACGACUGCAAAGUUAAAAACAAAAAAAUUAGUCGGUCUCGGAGCAAACGAAGUGAGCCAUGUUA